rnacentral:rRNA from 1 species
UUCCGUAGGGGAACCUGCGGAGGGAUCAUUACUGAGUUUACGCUCUACAACCCUUUGUGAACAUACCUAUAACUGUUGCUUCGGCGGGUAGGGUCUCCGUGACCCUCCCGGCCUCCCGCCCCCGGGCGGGUCGGCGCCCGCCGGAGGAUAACCAAACUCUGAUUUAACGACGUUUCUUCUGAGUGGUACAAGCAAAUAAUCAAAACUUUUAACAACGGAUCUCUUGGUUCUGGCAUCGAUGAAGAACGCAGCGAAAUGCGAUAAGUAAUGUGAAUUGCAGAAUUCAGUGAAUCAUCGAAUCUUUGAACGCACAUUGCGCCCGCCAGCAUUCUGGCGGGCAUGCCUGUUCGAGCGUCAUUUCAACCCUCAAGCUCUGCUUGGUGUUGGGGCCCUACAGCUGAUGUAGGCCCUCAAAGGUAGUGGCGGACCCUCCCGGAGCCUCCUUUGCGUAGUAACUUUACGUCUCGCACUGGGAUCCGGAGGGACUCUUGCCGUAAAACCCCCAAUUUUCCAAAGGUUGACCUCGGAUCAGGUAGGAAUACCCGCUGAACUUAAGCAUAUCAAUAAGCGGAGGAA